rnacentral:tRNA from 1 species
GCGAAUGUGGCGAAGUGGUUAACGCACCGGAUUGUGGCUCCGGCAUUCGUGAGUUCGAUUCCCAUCAUUCGCC